rnacentral:tRNA from 1 species
GAGGAUGUAGCUCAGUAGUAGGGCCCUUGCCUAGCAAGUGGGAAGUCCUGGGUUCAAUCCCCAGCACACACU